GCGGCAGGCUGGGGAAGGCGGCGGCGGCUGCAGCGGCUGCGGCGGCGGCCGUCCAGGCGGAGUCGAGAGCUGGGUGGUGAGGAGGGAAAGGACUAGCAUCAAGAACCAGCAACUCCUGUUACUUGCCAAAUGACUUGGAAACUGCCACCUGAUCCUCAGAGAGCGAGAGAGACUCAAAGACAACAAGACAACAAGAAUUAGAUGGAUGCCAACAAAAGUCCAGCAACAUCUGGAGAGCAUCACACUGGUGAAACCUUCCUUAUAAACACUUACCUGGGUACAAUAGCCAUGGACACUGUAGAUAGAUUUGAUGGGUUAGAAAUGUUCUAUUUAAGAGAAUUGUGUCAAGCAGGUCAUUGUGACAUUUGUACAGAAGAGCAGAGUUUAUGAAGAGGCACCUGAAAGUCAUUGUAAUUGCUUAAGAAGAGUUGCUCAUUUG